ensembl:misc_RNA Metazoa_SRP Metazoan signal recognition particle RNA
GCUGGGCAUGGUGGCACGUGCCUGUAGUCCCAGCUACCUGGGAGGCUGAGGUGGGAGGAUCACUUGAGUCCAGGAAGUCUAGAAUGCCGUGAGCCUUGAUUAUAACACUGCAUUCCAGCCUGGGUGACAGAGUGAGACUCUGUCUCAC